rnacentral:rRNA from 1 species
GAUGAACGCUGGCGGCGUGCCUAAUACAUGCAAGUCGAGCGAACGGACGAUAAGCUUGCUUCUCGGAUGUUAGCGGCGGACGGGUGAGUAACACGAGUAUAACCUACCUAUAAGACGGGUAUAACUUCGGGAAACCGGAGCUAAUAGCGGAUAAGAUUUUGAAGCGCAUGGUUGAAAAGUAAAAGACGGUCGUGCGGGCACGUAUAGAGGGAUCCGCGCUGCAUUAGCUAGUUGGUAAGGUAACGGCUUACCAAGGCAACGAUGCAUAGCCGACCUGAGAGGGUGAUAGGCCACCCUGGAACUGAGCCACGGUCCAGACUCCUACGGGAGGCAGCAGUAGGGAAUGUUCCGCAAUGGGCGAAAGCCUGACGGAGCGACGCCGCGUGAGUGAUGACGGUCUUCGGAUCGUAAAACUGUGUUAUUAGGGAAGAACAUAUGUGUAAGUAAAUGUGCACAUCUUGACGGUACCUAAUCAGAAAGCCACGGCUAACUACGUG